ensembl:lncRNA
UGUAUAUGUGUGUGUGUGUGUGUGUUGCCAGAUUGUGUAGGCUGCUGCUACUGCCGCUUAGUUCCCACUGCGCAUGCGUUUGGGAAGCCCAGGGUAGGCCCUGCUGUUUUUGUAACUCCAGUCAAUCCAACGCAGGCGUCUAAACCAAAACAAGGAGCGCGAGAUCCCCUCAUGACGGCGAAUAAACUGGAUCUUGGCUGACCCACUUGGCAGAGAGGGGUGCCAGCGUUUGGCUCCAAGGCUGCAGUAGCUCCAGUGUGAGGCCUGCUGCCAGCUGUGCGGUGAGGCCCAGCACCAGUGGAAAGCAGAGGUUUUCAGAUGUUUUCCGAAUCACUGGCCUCUGGAAGUCUUCGUCAGACAAAGGAAGCUUUUGUGAGCUCCAGGCAUGGGUCUUGUGGCUCACAGCUCAACCACAGCGGGAUGCAGAUUCUGAGGUGUUGUCGACAAGAAGUGUCUCUGGAUGUACACAUGGUGCAUUUGAGAAAUAUUCGUCAUGCCCACUCGGAGCGUAAGUUUCAGUGAUAGAAAAUUACCGAAUAGCGUUGUUCCAGUCAUUUGUAACCGUGUAACUGUGCUGUUUAAAUGGUGAUGGAACUCUUAAAGCAGACCUCAUGUCUUCCUCCAUCUGUAAUUUAUUUGCAUAUGUUGCAUGUAAUUAACGUGCGUUUUGGAUUCACAUGAUGAGAGAGAGGGUUUUCUGUGUAUGUCCUCUCAUGAUGCGUCAUUGACUACGUUUACAUGGACAUCAAUAAUCUAAUUAUUGAUCUUGUUCUGAGUAAGACAAUAGUGUGAAUAAGGUUUUUGCAUGAGUUGCUUUUAGAAUAUUCCUUUCAUGUUCCCGUUUUACAUGUUCUAGAACAUAGAUCGAUUAACGGCACACGUCAUUACGUCCCCACGCCACGCCGUCCGAUGUUCCCUCCACACUGUCACGUAUCGAGAUACAAUUGGUCUUUGUUAUGGUACCGUAUACAGUUUUGGGUGUUUCAAGUGCAGUUAAUUAUUUGUCAUGCUGUACGUGCAAAUAGAUGACUUCUUGAAGUCGUGGGCUGCGUCCGAAACCACACACUUGCCUACUAUAUAGCAGCUAAGAUGCAUGUAUUUCUCCUAUUUUAUAUUGUAGCAGGUAAGUAUGUGGUUUGGGACACAGCCAUGCUCUCUUGUUUGCCGUCUAACGGUUGAGCACUGCCGUGUAAAUGCUCAACCGCAAAAUGCGGUGAAAACUCCCACACGACCUUAAUAGUGUGAUUGAUGUGUGUACGUGUCGGUAAUGCACAUCCAUAAUGUGACUAAACCAGGAAUACUCCACAUGUCUUAAUUCCAUUUGUGUUUACUCAUAGUAUGACUAGUCGGAUUAAAGUCAUCAAUAAUCGCUGUUUACAUGCUAGUUUCUUAAUCUGAGUAUAGUCUUAAAUGGGUUAAUAUCAGAUUAUUAUUGUCCAUGUAUUAUUGUCCUGAUUGUAUCAACCUGGAUACAAACGGGUUUAUCCGUAAAUCAUUUGUAGGAGCUUUUACACAAUGUGGCAUUCAUUAAAAUCCAGUUCGUCAGUUAGAAAUGGUUGUAUCCUGAGAGAGAUCCUGAGUUUGUGUAAUUGAUGUGUAAGGAAACUCACUCAUGAGAACUUUUGAUUGGUGGCUUCAGAACGUUUAACUGGUGAUUAAUUACUGCGAUUUUAUACAAUUUGAACAAAUUUAUUUCAGUUGUACACACAGGUUUAAUGAUUUCAUGUAUAUGCGUGUGUGUGAAGUAAACAGAAGAGUUUGAACUCAUUAUCAGCAAAUGAUGUUUACCACAUGACAUUAUUUGUUAUCCCACAAAUUGGUCAUUACGUUGCCUAGGGAGCCAUAUUGUGCUGAUUUGAAUUGCUUCUCUGACUAAUCCCCUUUUUACCCGGGUGUUGAAUUUGGGUGGACAGCCUACGUUAAGCUGAGUCGUAGUUGUUUAUUCCAUGUUCUUCCAAUUUAUAAUCAUGGAUUUAAUGGUUUUCUGUGGGUUGGGAUAUUUAUUUUUUUAUAACCAAAUAACAAAAGCACGAUUGAUACUUUUCCAGAACUUUUGUCUUGGACUUGUUUGAGAACUCUUUGGUCCUAAUGAUGUGGUUUGUUUAGGUAUGUUCUGUAACAAACUCUGGGCCCCUUCCAGGAAUAGGUGUAUUGAGAUCACGCGAUGCUUUAAUUGCACACAGAUUUGACUAAUUGUGAUUUCUGAUGGCUGAUGGUUGCCUCAGAACUAAUGUCUGGGUUUCAUGCUUAUGUAUUUUAAAAAAUGUUUAUUUGCAAAUCAUUUUGCAAACUACAUUGAUUUAUUGUUUUACUACUGACUUCAAUAUAAUGUAUAAUUAUUUAAAUUAUUAUUAUUUUUUUUCUGUAGAUUCAUGCCAUAAUCCAAAUAAAGUCCAAUUAAUUUUCAGGUGGUAAAUCAUUCAAGGGGGUAAAUAUUUAUAGAAUCCACUGUAGUGCAGUCGAUACCCAAUCUUUGCAGGCUGUUACUUUGGGUAGACAAACACCAUGGUGGAAAAGCCUACAUCUGCACCCCAAAUUUGUACUAUUAAGAGGAACUGAUGGUAUGCAGACUGGAAAGUUUGGGAAAACUGGGAAGUUCUCUUCCCCCACCCCCCUCCCAUUUUUUUCAGACUUUGCUGAGUCAUAUAAAGCAAGUGCAAAGGUUUUUAACAAAAAUGUGUAGGGAAUAUCAUCACCAUCCCACCACCUUGACCCUGAUUUUGGAUUCGUAAUAAAAGUGCGUUAGAGGGAACUCCGGUUCUGUUGACGUGGGAGACGGUCUGUAUACCUGAAUGCUUGGGAAUGAGAGAGAGAGAUGGGGAAAGGAGGGAAUUUCUUCUGUGGAGGAAUUCAGUGUCUAUUUUUACCCCUGCUGGUGUGAGCGGUUGCUAUGGCAUUGCUGACAGGCGCCGUUGUCAUGGCACCGUGCAUACCGGGCGGCACUGAGGAUCCGUGUUGGAGUGACUCAAAGCUUCACUGACCUACAUUUGAGAGAACACACACGCAUACACCCAAAGAGCUUGCAGAGACUUGCAGAGUCUGUGAUGAAAAUGCCCAGGGUGUGUGGGCUCUUGGCAUGCAAACAGAAAGUUGUGUAGUAUUUAAGCUGAAUGAGAGUGAGGUGGAAGCAAGCAGAUAUAUGGUGAUUUAAAUUGUUACUGCAGUGUUUGUGUGCGAAUGGAUGGAUUGCCAGGCCUUAGACAAAUGUGUGCUGCCUGCCUGAAUAGUGAGUACACUAUUUGGUAUUAGACUUUACGUUUAACCUUAACGUAUUUAUGUGUGGGGGAAGAUUCAUACAGUGUUCUCCACUAAUAUUGGCACCCUUGGUAAAUAUGAGCAAAAAAAGGCUGUGAAAACUUGUCUUUAUUGUUUGAUCUUUUGUUCAAAAAAAUUCCCCAAAAUACUCUGCUCUCAUGGAUAUCAAAGAAUUGUAAAUAAAACAGGUUUAGAAUAGAAAGAUACUUUGUUAAAUAUAGGUGUGCAACGAUUAUCUUCACCCUUUUAGUCAAUACUUUGUGCUACCUUCCUUUGCCAAGAUAACAGGUCUGAGUCUUCCCCUGUAAUGCCUGAUGAGGUUGGAGAAUACAUGGCAAGGUAUCCGAGAUCAUUCCUUGAUACAGAAUCUCUCCAGAUCCUUCAAAUUUCAAGGUCCAUGCUGGUGGACUCUCCUCCUCAGUUCACUCCACAGGUUUUCUAUGGGUUUAAGUCAGGAGACUGGGAUGGCCAUGGCAGGACCUUGAUUUUGUGGUCAAUAAACCAUGUUUGUGUUGAUUUUGAUGUAUGAUUUGGAUCAUUGUCCUGCUGGAAGAUCCAACCAUGGCCCAUUUCAAGCCUUCUGUUAGAGGCAGUCAGGUUUUCAUUUAAUAUCUGUUGAUAUUGUACAUCUGUAGAAGUUUGCAGGGAUAUAUGAAAGAGCAGCAUGUGUGAGAUAAGGGAGGGAGGAUUGUAUGUAAAUGUGGCCGCAGAGGAAUUUGUUUCAUGUGGUCAUGAGGAGGUGACCUGGUGUAAACCGGGAAACCCCCCCCCAACACAUUUGCCUAGUUCACUUGGACAUAUAGAUGAAUGUGUGUUGUUGCUGUUGAAGACAGCAUUGCUUUACGGUUUUAAUUGGCAGCUUUUUCUCAGUGACAGCUUCCUGAAUCUUCACUCCCUCACACCAUCCUUUCAGUAAAGGAACAGUGUGUAAUGGGUUUGGAGAAACAUUAGGUGUGCCUCAGGAAGGAAUGUCACUGCCUUAGAGACAGAAGUGGCUCAGGCUGUCUCACUGUUGAGUAGAGAUUAAAUCUCAGAGCGUGCGAGCGGCAGAGGAAGGAAAGUAGGUCAUUGGGUCAGCGGGUCAGUGAAGCAUUCGGUGACAUCACGGUUACAAAACCACAGCAUGCUCACACUACAGCAACCACUGCCUCAUGGCCCCUUUCUCUUUCUCACCUUCUCUGUCGCAGGCUGCUUCUUACGUUUUUUUUCCCUCCUAUUUUCUGGCUUUUAUCAAUAGUUUUGCUUUCUCGUGGAGGUUGUUGUCUACCAUAAGUGCUUCAUGACCGCUUUCCUCACUUUUGAGACUUUGGCUUGUGUGGGUCUCGUGGAUGACAAUUCAUGCUGGUGUUCUCGAAACAGAUUCAAAAUUCAAACUGUUCUGUCAGUAUGAGUGUAUAUGUGCAUGUCAGUUUAGUAAUCUCCCACAUUUGGAGAAGGCCACUAAGCAGUCCUAUAGCAUGAACUGUCUGAAAUCUGCUUGAGUCAGGAACAGUGAAGUGCCCUGAUUACAAGCAAUAAAUGUCCUAAUGCAUCAUGGAUAGUUUCUGGAUAGUUUCUCUGUUUAUAAUCUAAUAUCAAUAUUUAAUUUAAGUAGUAUAGCAUUAAGUGCUCUUCUGCUCAGAAAGACUUGUUUUAUUUUUGUUGCAAUGUUUAGUUAAAAAAAAUUAUUGAUUUUAUAUAUUUUUAUAUUCGGUGCAUUGAUCAUUAAAUAAAGAAUUAAAUAGGUCGAAUAUAAUACCAUAAUGGUGCUGUUGCAGUCAAUGGCAGCACUGAUAAUUUUACACCACGUAGCACUGUGUGCAAAACUGUUUUCGGGCAGCCAGAUUAAAAUGUUCCUGUAAAGUUUGUUUGAAUUUUAUGAAGAAUUUAUGACCCAUUUAAAAACGUGACCAAUUGAAAAUACGAGAGCAUAAGACAGGAAAGUCAGUAGAGUAACAACAUGUCAAGUUGUUUCUCAGGUUCGAUAUUUAUUCAAAUAUUUCUUGCAGCAAUUAUGACAAUCUGGUUUGUCUUUAUGUAAAACACUACCCUGGAUAACGUCACAUAGAUGGAUCAUCACUCUAAAGACAGGUUUAUGUGGGCGUAUUUAGGAAUGUGUUUGUGUAUGGGUCUGCUAUCAUUCUUAAUGAGCUUCAAGACAGAUGGUGUUUGUUUUUGGGUUUUUUUUCCUUUUCAGUUCGAGUAAUAUUCUAGAAGCCUCUGUAAUGGAUGAAUGGGAUUUCUACUCUAUGAUGAUGUAUGAUGCUGAACAUAAGAUUAAAAUUUGCUUCCCACUCUUGUUGCCUGUGAUUAGUGCUUUUUGUUGACUUUAAGUCUAUGGGGGUGACGUCUAGGUUUUACUGGAAUUCAUGUUGUGCGUUGAUUUAGGUUUAUCCAGACUAACCUGCUGUGGUGUUGGAGUUAAACAGUAAUUGCUGCUUUGCGCUAUCUGAAAAGCUGUCCUUACUCUAAUGCAAGGCUUGUGAUAACAUUUAUCGAAACAGCUACUCGUUACUGCAGUAACGAAAGAUAACCUUCAGCUUUCUGCCUUCAGUUCACACCUUGGUAUGAUGAUCAAGCUUGCAUUUUAAAACCACUCAUUUAGAACAUAAAUAGCAUCGAAUGAAACUGGUAAUGCUCCAGAUUUCAUGGAAGGAAAGCUCAUCAACUAUAGAAAAACCGCUGCAAACUCCCACUCUCAUGGAAGAUCAUAAAAAUAAUUCCCGAUUCACACUAGGAGUGAUGGGACACAGAUGUAUAGAUACCUGAUAGUGAGUGUAUACUAGCUCUGACUUUUGAUUUUCAUGACAAAUUUGAAAACAUUAGACAGAAAAUUUCGAAAGUGAUUUGUAACAAUUUUAUACUAUUUAAGACACCAAUAUAACCAUUUUAGUGGAACCAUUGGAAUCCUUUACCCCAAACCAACAGACUUAAUUAAACUUGUGUACUAGAUUUGACACCUACACAUUUUCUUAAGGAACUACUACCAGAGGCAAUCAAACCUCCUGUUACAAUAAUAAGCUUCUAGCUGUGUACCUAAUUAUUUUAACUUGGUGGUUCUAAAACCAUCGAGUACCAAACCUGACCAUGACCCAUGUGAACUUCAUAGAGCUUGCAUUGGACUUGCUUUCACUUUGGAUUUAGACCUUUUAGAUCAUAAUACUGAAACAGCACAGGAUAAAGUCGAUUACCCAUUCCUCAGCUUUAUUAAGUUGGUGUAUGUCAUUUUGUAUGUUUGGGUGAAACAUCCAGCUGCACAUCAGCAGCAUAGGCAGCGGAAGAUAAUUCCAUGUUUUAUGAAAUAAUUUCAACGGAGCCUCGUGGAACACCAAAUGUUACUUUUGUACGAAUAGAGCUGUCACAAUUAACGUUUCACACAUUGACAACAGUCAGACAGAUGAGACCUGAACCAGGAAAGAGCCUUUCCCUUAAGUCCAUCAAUAUAUUCAAGGUAAUAUUGUGAUCUAUGGUAUGGUAACACAGGCAGAUCAGAGGCCAGUAGUCGUUGGAUCACAGUAAAACUUUGCAUUGAUUAAAAAGAUUAUUUGCUGACCUGUAAAGCCCUCUGUGGUCUCAUCCCACAGUACCUGUGCGUGAACUUUUGGUCUGUUAUGAUCUGUUGUGAAUAUUCAAUCAACUUUUCACACAGUUUUUGUUCAGAGUACUUAAUUUUUUUUCUAUUGUUAUAACGGUAAACAUUAUAUAACGGUUUAUUUAAUGUCCGUUGUGAGUAAGAAAUGUAUUCUUGUAAAUUUUCAUGCUGCAAAUUUAUGGUACGUGAAUAUCGUCAUCGGUGUCCUUGAUUACUAAUAAUCAGUAUAUGUAUUGGCCCAGAAAAAAACCCACAUCGGUUGACCCUUAGUUUGCUUGCCGCCUUGUAGAUGAUCCUAAUUGUGAUGUCAUUUUUCUCUUCAGCCACAGUUAUGCCUGUUAUGCAUUAUGAUGCAUGUGUGUGUUCUCACCCCAAAGCUUUAUAUUGCUUCCUCUCCCCAAACUAAGAGUCACCAGUGUGUCUUUUCUCGUAAUUGCCUAAGGAUAGUAAGGGAAACUUUGGUUAACUGAUAUAUUUCUGCCUCUUGGGCUUGGGCACUCUUGCUGUACAGAGAUCUAUUGUCCCAGGCUCAGUGAGCAAAUAUUUCACUCCCACCUCGACUAGUACGCUAUCUGGGUGUGACCCAUGAGAGGUUCAAUUUGAGUGGCAUUAGCUUUCCUAUAAAUGGAGUAAUAUAAUUGCCAGUGUUUAAAGUGCUGCUUCUGAACAGUCAUUGAAUGACAAGAGAACAAGUGUCCUUUUUCUUACCCGUGUUAUUUAUUUAAUUAUUAUUAUUAUUUUUUGAAAAUGACAGGUUUCUCUUGUUCAGCUGUCUCUUCUGUGUUGCUUCAUGAAGGGUACAGCUUUUAAUGUCGGAUCUAUUAAUGAUCCUAUCAGAAAUGAACAUUAUCAUGGCGAAAAAUACCUCCUUAUGAAGUUAAUUAAAUGGUUAAGCACCACACAUCUCUACGUAAUGACGCUUCUUCGGCUUCUUCACGGAUGGACUUGUGUUUUUUCAGACCUGAUGGAGAGAUUACAAAGGGACUAGGAUUAGAUUAAGAAGAUUUAAACUAUAGCAUAGUUAACAGAAUAAAAACUAAACACUAUCCCAGUUGGGUAUCUGCUGUGCUAUAUCUGUAUACUGUACGUCUUUAUUGGCGAGUGAUUUAUUCAUCAUAAAUCUUAGGUUUAUGAUUUGUUGGAAGAGGGUUUUUGCUGAAUUUUUGCACCAUGGCAAAAGUUCAGUAAAGCAAAGCUGAAUUUUUUUUAUGCAAACGAGUGUUACCUCUAGGUAGUGUUUGAAUAACAAGACAAGGACUUCAUGAGCCCUUUUGAUUCUCCAAAAUCAAAUCGAAGACCUCGUCAUUGAAAUGUGCUGCAGAAAGUGGUACUGUGUACUGUGAGGAAGCUGAAAGUGCUUUGGAAAUGUUGCCACAUAUCAAUGGGAACAAGAAAUUCAUAUUUAUAUGAUAAUACUCUCUGUCCACUUCAUUAGGAACACCUGCACAUUCUUACAGCUAUCUAAUCAGCCAAUCAUGCAGAUAUGGGUCAAGAGCUUCAGUUAAUGUUCGCUUUAACCGUGGCAUGGAUGUUUGAUUAUUCCAGAUACUGCUGAUUUCCUGGGAAUUUCACACACAACAGUCUCUAGAGUUUACACAGAAUGAUGCGAAAAACAAAAAAAAACAUAUCGAGCGACAGUUCUGUGGGUGUAAACGCCUUGUUAAGAGAGGUUCAGCGGAAAAUGAUGUGAUUUGUUCGAGCUACCAGGAAGGAUAUAGUAACUCUUAUAAUCACUCUUUACAACCGUGAUGAACAGAAAAGCAUCUCAGCAUGCACAAAACCUUGAACCUUAAGAUGUAUGGGCUACAUCAGGUUCCACUCCUGUGAGCCGAGAACAGGAACAGGCACAGACUCGCCCAAACUGGACAGUGGAAGAUUAGAAGAAAAAAAAUCAUCACCUGCCCUUUUUCCAGUUUGGGCGAGUCUGUGCCUAUGAUGGCCUCAGAUACUUGUUCUUGGUUGACAGGAGUGGAACCUGAUGUGGUCCUCUGCUAUUAUAGCCCAUCCACAUCAACGUUUUGUGCAUUCUGAGAUGCUUUUCUGUUCACCACAGUAAAGAGUAAUUAUGAGUUACUAUAAACUUCCUGGCAGCAUCAGUGACGACAUUUAAAAAAAACAAACAAACAAACAAACAAAAAACUCAUAAUAAAAUAUUUUAAACAAUUGAAUGCAUUGUGUUGUUAGAAAAUGUUGACUGAUGACUGGAGAUAUUUGCCCACUAAUUUGUUUAGCAUGCCAUUAAGUAACAUGCAGGCCUGAGUCAUUUUAACAUGCCAUUAAGCUCAUUAUUGUGUUCUGAGAGAAUGAUCUUUUUUGCUGGUAGUGGUUGAACUUGAGUUUUGCUAUUACCACAAAAUGCACAAAUAUUAGGUGACUGACUGAAGAGGGUAGAUAGUGCUUUCCUCCGAGGGUGUUCAUUUGCCCUGUGGCUUAGCAUGAACAGAAGUUUGGGGAAAAAAAGACCUGGUGAUUAUUAUAUUUAUGAUAUUUUAAAAUUUUAUCUAAACUAUUAUUUGGCUGUAUAUCAGGAUAUUAGGCGUGAGAUGAGUGCGAUCUUGCAGGAAGGUUACUAGGUUAAUGAGUAAGUGCUAGAAGUGUAUUGGUUUGUAAGAGGGUUCUCUCUAACAACUAGUGCAUGUAUGGUAUAACCG